rnacentral:lncRNA from 1 species
GGCAAUGGGGCUUGGAAAAUAAGAAUCCAGAGAAAUGCAUAUCUGGAUGCAAUCGACCGUCACAAGAAUAGGAUGAGUUACUACCAAGACAGUCAAGAUGGCAUCCUAUUGCUGCACCGUAAUGCAAUUCAACACCUUCCCAAGGACUACUCAGUGGUUGUGGUGCACGCAAAGGUGCAGGUUUAAUUUGAAGUUCAUCACGUAGAGCAUAUUGUUUCUACGACCUGUCCAGGAGCUAAACUUGUCCAGCUCAUCAUGGUGAUAUGAAAUGUCAACCGAAGAAAAGGAAAUUACUGAAAAGAGCUACACUAGAAAGAAAGGCUAAUGAUUUUGUGGCUAUUAAGAAUGCUGCAAUGGAGAUACUCGAAGUAAAAUGUGCAAUGGAGCUCCCUAAUGAUGUUCAAAUGCUCUUCCAUCUUCUAUCAAAUUAUAAGGAUGGGGAUGAGAUCGUUAUUGAAAAUCAUCCACUGCUGCUGACAGAGAAAGAGAAAAUAAGCCUCUUCAAUGACAUGCAUACACAUGUGUAAAUUCUGGGAAAGAAAGAUCAAGCUAAAGACAUCAGAAUUAAACAACAUACCUUAUGGCAAUAGGGCUUCGAAAAUAAGAAUACAAAGGAAUGUAUAUCUGUAUGUAAUCGACCGUCACAAGAAUAGGAUGAGUCCUACCAAGACAGCCAAGAUGGCAUCCUAUUGCUGCACCGUAAUGCAAUUCAACACCUUCCCAAGGACUACUCAGUGGUUGUGGUGCACGCAAAGGUGCAGGUUUAAUUUGAAGUUCAUCACGUAGAGCAUAUUGUUUCUACGACCUGUCCAGGAGCGACACUGGUCCAGCACAUCAUGGUGAUGUGAAAUGUCAACCGAAGAAAAAGAAAAUUACUGAAAAGAGCUACACUAGAAAGUAAAAAGGCAAAUGAUUUUGUGGCUAUUAAGAAUGCUGCAAUGGAGAUACUCGGAGUAAAAUGUGCAAUGGAGCUUCCUAAUGAUGUUCAAAUGCUCUUCCAUCUUCUAUCAAAUUAUAAGGAUGGGGAUGAGAUCCUUAUGAAAAUCAUCCACGGCUGUUGACAGAGAAAGAGAAAAUAAGCCUCUUCAAUGACAUAUAUACGCAUGUGUAAAUUCUUGGAAAGAAAGUACAAGCAAAAGAAAUCAGAAUUAAACAACAUACCUUAUGGCAAUGGGGCUUGGAAAAUAAGAAUCCAGAGAAAUGCAUAUCUGGAUGCAAUCGACCGUCACAAGAAUAGGAUGAGUUACUACAAAGACAGUCAAGAUGGCAUCCUAUUGCUGCACCGUAAUGCAAUUCAACACCUUCCCAAGGACUACUCAGUGGUUGUGGUGCACGCAAAGGUGCAGGUUUAAUUUGAAGUUCAUCACGUAGAGCAUAUUGUUUCUACGACCUGUCCAGGAGCUAAACUUGUCCAGCUCAUCAUGGUGAUAUGAAAU